rnacentral:misc_RNA from 1 species
UCUCCGUAGGUGAACCUGCGGAGGGAUCAUUACAGAGUUCUCGCCCUGGCGGGUAGAUCUCCCACCCACUGUUAUCGUUACUGUGGUGCUUUGGCGGGCCGCCGGGCCCCGCUCGGCCGCCUGCUCCGGCUGGCGCGCGCCCCCCAGAGGCACAGCACACUCUGAAUGUUAGUGUCGUCUGAGUACUAUAUAAUAGUUAAAACUUUCAACAACGGAUCUCUUGGUUCUG